rnacentral:rRNA from 1 species
GACAGAGGGUGCAAACGUUGUUCGGAAUUACUGGGCGUAAAGCGCGCGUAGGCGGCUUUUCAAGUCGAUUGUGAAAUCCCCAGGCUCAACCUGGGAACUGCAUUCGAGACUGCAUAGCUAGAGUAUGGGAGAGGGAAGUGGAAUUUCAGGUGUAGCGGUGAAAUGACGUAGAUAUCUGAAGGAACAUCAGUGGCGAAAAGCGACUUCCUGGACCAAUACUGACGCUCAUGUGCGAAAGCGUGGGGAGCAAACAGG